CGCACAUUGCGCCCACUAGUAUUCUGGUGGGCAUGCCUGUUCGAGCGUCAUUUCGACCUUCAGGCGGUCCUCCCUCUCGCGGGGGGGGAGCCAUCCUGGUGUUGGGGCUAUCUACAGCGGGCUUUCGUCCCCCGUAGGCCCUUAAAGUCAGUGGCGGGCUCGCCGUAACGUUCCAAGCGUAGUAGCUAUGUCUUUUCGCUUCGGGGCUCCGGCGGGUUGCUAGCCGUUAAACCACCCCCUAACUUUUCCAGUUAGGCACCCAAGGUUGACCUCGGAUCAGGUAGGAAUACCCGCUGAACUUAA
rnacentral:misc_RNA from 1 species